UCUAAGGCAUGUGCGAGUCGAAUGUAGCAAUACAUGGCGAACUGCUCAGUAACACGUGGACAACUGCCCUUAGGUUGGGUAUAAACCCGGGAAACUGGGUAUAAUACCCGAUAGGUCUCGAUUGCUGGAAUGCAUCGAGAUUUAAAGCUCCGGCGCCUAAGGAUGGGUCUGCGGCCUAUCAGGUAGUAGUGGGUGUAGCGUACCUACUAGCCUACGACGGGUACGGGUUGUGAGAGCAAGAGCCCGGAGAUGGAUUCUGAGACACGAAUCCAGGCCCUACGGGGUGCAGCAGGCGCGAAAACUUUACAAUGCUGGCAACAGCGAUAAGGGAACCUCGGGUGCCAGGUUACAAAUCUGGCUGUCGAGAUGCCUAAAAAGCAUUUCAUAGCAAGGGCCGGGCAAGACCGGUGCCAGCCGCCGCGGUAACACCGGCGGCUCGAGUGGUAACCGUUAUUAUUGGGUCUAAAGGGUCUGUAGCCGGCCGGAUAAGUCUCUUGAGAAAUCUGGCAGCUUAACUGUCAGGCUUUCAGGGGAUACUGUCUGGCUCGAGGCCGGGAGAGGUGAGAGGUACUUCAGGGGUAGGGGUGAAAUCUUGUAAUCCUUGAAGGACCACCAGUGGCGAAGGCGUCUCACCAGAACGGACCUGACGGCAAGGGACGAAAGCUAGGGGCACGAACCGGAUUAGAUACCCGGGUAGUCCUAGCCGUAAACGAUACUCGCUAGGUGUCGGCCACGGUGCGACCGUUGUCGGUGCCGUAGGGAAGCCGUGAAGCGAGCCACCUGGGAAGUACGGCCGCAAGGCUGAAACUUAAAGGAAUUGGCGGGGGAGCACCACAACGGGUGGAGCUUGCGGUUUAAUUGGAUUCAACGCCGGAAAUCUUACCGGGACCGACAGCAAUAUGAAGGCCAGGCUGAAGACUUUGCCGGAUUAGCUGAGAGGUGGUGCAUGGCCGUCGUCAGUCGUAACUGAANNNC
rnacentral:rRNA from 1 species